CCUACGGGUGGCUGCAGUGGGGAAUAUUGGGCAAUGGAGGCAACUCUGACCCAGCAACGCCGCGUGAAUGAUGAAGGUCUUCGGAUUGUUAAGUUCUUUUCUUCGGGAAGAAAAAAGUGACGGUACCUUAGGAAUAAGCCUAGGCGAACUACGUGCCAGCAGCCGCUGUAAUACGUAGGAGGCAAGCGUUAUCCGGAAUGACUGGGCGUAAAGGGUGCGUAGGUGGUUCGACAAGUUAGUAGCGCAACUCCGGGGCUCAACUUCGGAACUACUACUAAAACUGUUGGACUUGAGUGCAGGAGAGGCAAGCGGAAUUCCUGGUGUAGCGGUGGAAUGCGUAGAUAUUAGGAGGAACACCAGUGGCGAAGGCGGAUUGCUAGACUGUAACUGACACUGAGGCACGAAAGCGUGGGGAGCAAACAGGAUUAGAUACCCUGGUAGUC
rnacentral:rRNA from 1 species